AAACAGUCUCCUAUGUUUUGAUUCUUUGGCAGUUUUGGACCCCCAAGGCAAAAAAAAAAAAAUUGACACGUGGCACCUCACUUAGGGUGCCACGUCAGUGUUGACCGAGUCAACAAUUGACUGGGAGUCCAAAACUGCCAAAGAAUCAAAACAUAGAGGGCUGUUU
rfam:Medicago truncatula strain A17 chromosome 1, whole genome shotgun sequence.